GCAAGUCGCACGAGAACGCUUUAGCUUGCUGAAGCAAGUAAAGUGGCGUACGGGUGAGUAACGCGUGGGUAAUCUACCUUUGAAUCGGGGAUAACUCCGCGAAAGCGGAGCUAAUACCGGAUGACAUUUUUAGGGUUCCGGCCUUUAAAAUUAAAGGUGGCCUCUACAUGUAAGCUACCGUUUGGAGAUGAGCCCGCGUACCAUUAGCUUGUUGGUAGGGUAACGGCCUACCAAGGCUACGAUGGUUAGCUGGUCUGAGAGGAUGAUC
rnacentral:rRNA from 1 species